UACCAAAUUAUGAGAAUUUACUUAAAAACAGUGAACCGUCUUAUUGCAUUUGCAAAAAUUACUGAUUUUCUUUCAAAAUCACGAAACCGAUCCCCUGUUCUUUUUCCCCUGACAAAAAACAGAAAAAUAUACUUAUGAGAGACAAACUGGUGCUGUAAGUCUCGCAGGUAGCCACAAGACUCGAGUACCUCAGAAAUUCUACUUAGCAAAAACCCUAGAAUCUUUUACCUUUUUAUUAUAUUAAAGUGAUGGGGGUAAACUACAAUCCAAUUUUACACCUCAAUCACUACUCCCUUGAGAAUUAACUUCAAACAGUAAUUUGUUUUCGCUGAUACAAUCACAAGUAACCCUACAAUGAAAGAAACAACAGAAAUGCGAGAAACCCACGGUUCAGAUUUAGAUUUUCAUAAUGCGUUAGGAGCUACACCAAAUAUAUUGAUAAUCCACAAACACACACAAACAUUUAGAGAGAGAGACAAUGACCUGAUUGUUAGUAGGGUUAGUCGACUUCGCAGAGAGUAGCAUAUGAAAUGGUGAAAUGUGGUAGUUCACACGGCAUCACCAAAUUCGAAGCCCUAAGCUGCCACAAUAUCAGAUCAUAACCCUUAACCCAGCACCCACUAUGAUUUAUACCCCCUACUAAUCACACACGAGCGUCCCACAAACCAAACAGCCCCUCGGACUUCACCAAAGUUUAGAUUGGAAAAGGAUUUUCGGGAAGGCUCUAAAUUCAGUCGCCGAAAAGGCCAAAUCAGCACCAAGGAAGAAGACAGUGGAGAAGAGGAGCAAGAAAUGGUGAACCGAAAUGAAGGGGAAGGGAGGAAAGGGAGAACAGGUGGGCCAGAUGAGUAAGUGGAGGAGGAGUUGAUGGUAGAUGGUGAAGGGAGAUUCUACAGAGAAUGUGAGCCCCUCUCUCUAAACCCUCGACGAGUAAGUGUUGUCUUUUAAUGGUUUUGUAUGCGCAGUACUACAUAAAUUAUUGGGUUUUACUGAAAGGCACUACAACAAGAUUGCAUACCAUUCCUCAGUUGUUGAGAUUCCCUUUGAAGUGAUGUUUGGCAAAACACCCGGCCCUUUCUAUUGCCACUUACAUUCCAGAAACUACACAAUUAGAAGUUUUUGAUGUUUCCCUCCACGAAAGAGAUGCCAAACUGCAAAUCCUUAAAAGGACAUUGAACAUCACCCAAAUAAUAAAACCCUAACUUCAAUGUGUUUCUAUAGAUGAAAAGUUAACCAUCAAGAGUUUGAGACAUAUAAAAUGAAUUGAAUAAAGAU
rnacentral:lncRNA from 1 species